rnacentral:rRNA from 1 species
UACAGAGGGGGCAAGCGUUGUUCGGAAUUACUGGGCGUAAAGCGCGCGCAGGCGGCCCUUUAAGUCUACCCGUGAAAUGCCGGAGCUCAACUCCGUGCACGCCGGGGGAUACUGGAGGGCUGGAGACAGGUAGAGGCAGGCGGAAUUCCGGGUGUAGCGGUGGAAUGCGUAGAGAUCCGGAAGAACACCAGAGGCGAAGGCGGCCUGCUGGGCCUUGUCUGACGCUGAGGCGCGAAAGCGUGGGGAGCAAACAGG